rnacentral:misc_RNA from 1 species
UAGAGUUGUAAAACUCCCAAACCCAUGUGAACAUACCUGUUGCCUCGGCGGCCUACCCGGCAGCUACCCUGUAGCUACCCUGUAGUCCGCCGAAGGAUUUCAAAACUCUUGUUUUCCAAUGUGGUUAAUUCUGAGUAAAUCUUGAAAUAAAUCA